AGUGGGCGGCGUAGAGCACUGCAGCAGCAAUGACGGAGGGCACGUGUCUGCGGCGCCGAGGGGGCCCCUACAAGACCGAGCCCGCCACCGACCUCGGCCGCUGGCGACUCAACUGCGAGAGGGGCCGGCAGACGUGGACCUACCUGCAGGACGAGCGCGCCGGCCGCGAGCAGACCGGCCUGGAAGCCUACGCCCUGGGGCUGGACACCAAGAAUUACUUUAAGGACUUGCCCAAAGCCCACACCGCCUUUGAGGGGGCUCUGAACGGGAUGACAUUUUACGUGGGGCUGCAGGCUGAGGAUGGGCACUGGACGGGUGAUUAUGGUGGCCCACUUUUCCUCCUGCCAGGUAGGAGUAUGCUACCCCAGACUGAUGGUAUGGCCACCCUGGAUCACCCUUGCGAUCCUGGCCCAGCCUGGUCUAGGGUUUUGAUGAAGCAGGUGAAAAUCCAGGGGCUCACAAGAAAAGGGCUGGCAAACUCUGCCCUAUGUCAGAGUCGUCCUGCUAUUGGUAUAGGGGAUCAGCUAGCCUUGCCAGUGUAGGGUGACAGGCUCUCUGAUAAGAGAAGCAAGUGGUUCUCU
rnacentral:sRNA from 1 species